rnacentral:rRNA from 1 species
UACGUAGGUGGCAAGCGUUGUCCGGAUUUACUGGGCGUAAAGAGCGCGCAGGCGGUCGUUCAAGUCGCGUGUGAAAGCCCCCGGCUCAACUGGGGAGGGUCACGCGAUACUGAUCGACUCGAAGGCAGGAGAGGGAAGUGGAAUUCCCGGUGUAGUGGUGAAAUGCGUAGAUAUCGGGAGGAACACCAGUGGCGAAGGCGGCUCACUGGACCGGUACUGACGCUGAGGCGCGAAAGCGUGGGUAGCAAACGAG